rnacentral:rRNA from 1 species
AUUGAACGCUGGCGGCAUGCUUUACACAUGCAAGUCGAGCGGCAGCGCGGGGGCAACCCUGGCGGCGAGCGGCGAACGGGUGAGUAAUGUAUCGGAACGUACCUUUCAGUGGGGGAUAACGUAGCGAAAGUUACGCUAAUACCGCAUAUUCUGUGAGCAGGAAAGCAGGGGAUCGCAAGACCUUGCGCUGAUUGAGCGGCCGAUAUCAGAUUAGCUAGUUGGUGAGGUAAAGGCUCACCAAGGCGACGAUCUGUAGCGGGUCUGAGAGGAUGAUCCGCCACACUGGAACUGAGACACGGUCCAGACUCCUACGGGAGGCAGCAGUGGGGAAUUUUGGACAAUGGGGGCAACCCUGAUCCAGCCAUGCCGCGUGAGUGAAGAAGGCCUGGUUGUAAG